GAGGCUGAGGCAGGGGAAUUGCUUGAACCCAGGCAGUGAAGGUUGCAGUGAGCUGAGAUCGCGCCACUGCACUCCAGCUUAGCUACAGAGCGAGACUCUGUCUCAAAAAAAAAAAAAAAAGUAAAUGUCCAAUCCAAUAACAUUGUAAUUAUUAAGAAUAACAUGGAAUGAUGCUACAGUGGAGAAUACCAUGUGGCUAUUAAAAGUAACAGUUAACAAAAGUAACAUUAGUUAAGGUUAGAAUACUAUGUAGCUAUUAGUUUUGAUUUUUUUUUUUUUUUUUUUUUUUUUUUUGAGACAGAGUCUCACUCUUGCCCAGGCUGGAGUGCAGUGGCAUGAGCUUGGCUCACUGCAACCUCCAACUCCUGGGUUCAAGCAAUUCUCCUGUCUCAGCCUCCUGAGUAGCUGGGAUUACAGACAUGCGCCACCACGCCUGGCUAAUUUUUUGUAUUUUUUAGUAGAGACGGAGUUUCACCAUGUUGGUCAAGCUGGUCUCAAACGCCUAACCUCAGGUGAUCCACACGCCUCAGCCUCCCAAAGUGCUGGGAUUACAGGCAUGGGCCACCACUCCCGGCUGUAGCUAUUAGUUUUGAAUCUUACAUGUUGGAAACUAGACUGCUCUGCUUAUAGUAUAUAACUUAAUUCUCUCAAACCACCUCUCCCGAUGAGAAGGCAAUUUUAACCUAUUUGACAAAUCCUUGGACCAAGUUGAAACAUGACAUGUGUAUAUGAAAUACUGUACAUUUUCCAGAAUCAGAAAUACAUGCUUUGCACACAGGUAAGAAUUUUAUUAACAGCAGUAGGAAGGGAACUUGCAGGGAUGUGAAUUAGUAAAUUUAUAUUCUUUAGUUUCCUUUUAAAAAUAUUUUUAGGCCAGGUGUGGUGGCUCACGCCUGUAAUCCCAGCACUUUGGGAGGCCAAGGUGGGCGGAUCACGAGGUCAGGAGAUUGAGACCAUCCUGGCGAACAUGGUGAAACCCCUUCUCUACUAAAAAUACAAAAAAUUAACCAGGCAUGGUGGCGGGCACCUGUAGUCCCAGCUACUCGGGAGGCUGAGGCAGGAGAAUGGCAUGAACCCAGGAGGCGGAGCUUGCAGUGAGCCGAGGUCGUGCCACUGCACUCCAGCCUGGGCAACAUAGCGAGACUCCGUCUCAAAAAAAAAGAAAUGUUUUAAAUGACUUAUAUUUGCUAAUUUGCAUUUUCUUUCUUUCUUUUUUUUUUUUUUUGAGAUAGAGUCUCGCUCUGUCACCAAGGCUAGAGUGAAGUGGCGCCAUCUCAGCUCACUGCAACCUCUGCCUCCCAGGUUCAAGCAAUUCUCCUGUCUCAGCCUCCCAAGUAGCUGAGACUAUAGGCGCAUGCCACCAUGCCCACCUAAUUUUUGUAUUUUUAGUAGAGGCAGGAUUUCACCAUAUUGGUCAGGCUGGUCUCGAACUCUUGACCUCAGGUGAUCCACCUGCUACAGCCUCCCAAAAUGCUGGGAUUACAGGCGUUAGCCACCGCACCCAGCCCUAAUUUGCAUUUUCUAAAGUCCUGAAUCAUACAGUAGUCCUCACUUGUGCAAACCCUCCUCAUUCAGUUCAUACAAGCUAAGUUGCUGCUUGUGAUUUAACAGAGACAUCUCCUUCCAACUGUGUCAUUCUGGGCCAUAAAUAAUUCAGAAGUACGGGCAAUUACAUAGAAUCUUGAUCUUAGUAUUAUAAUUUCAAUUAAAUUAGCAAGAUAGAUUUUUUCUUUGAUUUUUACAUCAUUUUCUGAUUCUCUUAGUGACAUACGAUCAGCCCCCUGUAUCUGAGGGUUCCACAUCCAGGGAUUCAACCAAUCAAGGAUCAAAAAUAUUUGGAGGCUGGGGGCAGUGGCUCAUGCCUGUAAUCCCAGCACUUUGGGAGGCUGAGGCAGGAGGAUGGCUUCAUCUCAGGAGUUUGAGACCAGCCCGGGCAACAUAGGGAGACCCUGUCUAUACAAAAAUAAAAAUAAAUUAACCUGGUGUGGCGGUGAAUUGCUGUGGUCCCAGCUACUUGGGAGGCUGAGGAUCACUAGAGCCUGAGAGGUUGAGGCUGCAGUGAGCCAUGAUCAUGCCACUGCACUCUAGCCUGGGCCACAGAGGGGGCCCCUGUCUCAAAAAAAAAAAAAAAAAGCUCUGAAAAAGUAAUAAUACGACAAUAAAAAAAACAAAAAAAAUAGCAUAACCACUAUCUACAUAGUAUUUACAUUGCAUUAGGUAUUAUAAGUAAUAUAGAGAUGACUUAAUGUAUAAUGGAGAUGUGCCUCGGUUAUAUGCAAAUACUAGGCCAUUUUUUUUUUCUUUCUUUUUUUUUUUCUUUUGAGACAGGGUAUUGCUCUGUUGCCCUGGCUGGAGUGCAGUGCUCAUUCCAGCUCAC
rnacentral:lncRNA from 10 species